rnacentral:lncRNA from 1 species
GGCGGGCGGCCUCCGUGUGCCAAAAAUAGGCCACGGGCACAGCCGCGCCCAAAAAUCAGCCCCCGAAGGUCGGGGUCACAAGACCCCCCAGCGGAAAAAUGGCCAAGAAACGCGUGGGCUAUAGCCUUGGUGGGGGGCGUGGGCGAAGUUCGUCCGCGGGACUCGGAAUGGCCCCAGACUUGGCGGGCGGCCUCCGUGUGCCAAAAAUAGGCCACGGGCACAGCCGCGCCCAAAAAUCAGCCCCCGAAGGUCGGGGUCACAAGACCCCCCAGCGGAAAAAAGGCCAAGAAACGCGUGGGCUAUAGCCUUGGUGGGGGGCGUGGGCGAAGUUCGUCCGCGGGACUCGGAAUGGCACCAUACUUGGCGGGCGGCCUCCGUGUGCCAAAAAUAGGCCACGGGCACAGCCGCGCCCAAAAAUCAGCCCCCGAAGGUCGGGGUCCCAAGACCCCCCAGCGGAAAAAUGGCCAAAAAACGGGUGGGCUAUAGCCUUGGUGGGGGGCGUGGGCGUCCGCGGGACUCGGAAUGGCACCAUACUUGGCGGGCGGCCUCCGUGUGCCAAAAAUAGGCCACGGGCACAGCCGCGCCCAAAAAUCAGCCCCCGAAGGUCGGGGUCCCAAGACCCCCCAGCGGAAAAAUGGCCAAGAAACGCGUGGGCUAUAGCCUUGGUGGGGGGCGUGGGCGAAGUUCGUCCGCGGGACUCGGAAUGGCCCCAGACUUGGCGGGCGGCCUCCGUGUGCCAAAAAUAGGCCACGGGCACAGCCGCGCCCAAAAAUCAGCCCCCGAAGGUCGGGGUCACAAGACCCCCCAGCGGAAAAAAGGCCAAGAAACGCGUGGGCUAUAGCCUUGGUGGGGGGCGUGGGUGAAGUUCGUCCGCGGGACUCGGAAUGGCACCAUACUUGGCGGGCGGCCUCCGUGUGCCAAAAAUAGGCCACGGGCACAGCCGCGCCCAAAAAUCAGCCCCCGAAGGUCGGGGUCCCAAGACCCCCCAGCGGAAAAAUGGCCAAAAAACGGGUGGGCUAUAGCCUUGGUGGGGGGCGUGGGCGAAGUUCGUCCGCGGGACUCGGAAUGGCCCCAGACUUGGCGGGCGGCCUCCGUGUGCCAAAAAUAGGCCACGGGCACAGCCGCGGCCAAAAAUCAGCCCCCGAAGGUCGGGGUCCCAAGACCCCCCAGCGGAAAAAUGGCCAAGAAACGCGUGGGCUAUAGCCUUGGUGGGGGGCGUGGGCGAAGUUCGUCCGCGGGACUCGGAAUGGCCCCAGACUUGGCGGGCGGCCUCCGUGUGCCAAAAAUAGGCCACGGGCACAGCCGCGCCCAAAAAUCAGCCCCCGAAGGUCGGGGUCCCAAGACCCCCCAGCGGAAAAAUGGCCAAGAAACGGGUGGGCUAUAGCCUUGGUGGGGGGCGUGGGCGAAGUUCGUCCGCGGGACUCGGAAUGGCCCCAGACUUGGCGGGCGGCCUCCGUGUGCCAAAAAUAGGCCACGGGCACAGCCGCGCCCAAAAAUCAGCCCCCGAAGGUCGGGGUCACAAGACCCCCCAGCGGAAAAAAGGCUAAGAAACGCGUGGGCUAUAGCCUUGGUGGGGGGCGUGGGCGAAGUUCGUCCGCGGGACUCGGAAUGGCACCAUACUUGGCGGGCGGCCUCCGUGUGCCAAAAAUAGGCCACGGGCACAGCCGCGCCCAAAAAUCAGCCCCCGAAGGUCGGGGUCCCAAGACCCCCCAGCGGAAAAAUGGCCAAAAAACGGGUGGGCUAUAGCCUUGGUGGGGGGCGUGGGCGAAGUUCGUCCGCGUGACUCGGAAUGGCCCCAGACUUGGCGGGCGGCCUCCGUGUGCCAAAAAUAGGCCACGGGCACAGCCGCGCCCAAAAAUCAGCCCCCGAAGGUCGGGGUCCCAAGACCCCCCAGCGGAAAAAUGGCCAAGAAACGCGUGGGCUAUAGCCUUGGUGGGGGGCGUGGGCGAAGUUCGUCCGCGGGACUCGGAAUGGCCCCAGACUUGGCGGGCGGCCUCCGUGUGCCAAAAAUAGGCCACGGGCACAGCCGCGCCCAAAAAUCAGCCCCCGAAGGUCGGGGUCACAAGACCCCCCAGCGGAAAAAAGGCCAAGAAACGCGUGGGCUAUAGCCUUGGUGGGGGGCGUGGGUGAAGUUCGUCCGCGGGACUCGGAAUGGCACCAUACUUGGCGGGCGGCCUCCGUGUGCCAAAAAUAGGCCACGGGCACAGCCGCGCCCAAAAAUCAGCCCCCGAAGGUCGGGGUCCCAAGCCCCCCCAGCGGAAAAAUGGCCAAGAAACGCGUGGGCUAUAGCCUUGGUGGGGGGCGUGGGCGAAGUUCGUCCGCGGGACUCGGAAUGGCCCCAGACUUGGCGGGCGGCCUCCGUGUGCCAAAAAUAGGCCACGGGCACAGCCGGGCCCAAAAAUCAGCCCCCGAAGGUCGGGGUCACAAGGACCCCCCAGCGGAAAAAAGGCCAAGAAACGGGUGGGCUAUAGCCUUGGUGGGGGGCGUGGGCGAAGUUCGUCCGCGGGACUCGGAAUGGCACCAUACUUGGCGGGCGGCCUCCGUGUGCCAAAAAUAGGCCACGGGCACAGCCGCGCCCAAAAAUCAGCCCCCGAAGUUCGGGGUCCCAAGACCCCCCAGCGGAAAAAUGGCCAAAAAACGGGUGGGCUAUAGCCUUGGUGGGGGGCGUGGGCGAAGUUCGUCCGCGGGACUCGAAAUGGCCCCAGACUUGGCGGGCGGCCUCCGUGUGCCAAAAAUAGGCCACGGGCACAGCCGCGCCCAAAAAUCAGCCCCCGAAGGUCGGGGUCCCAAGACCCCCCAGCGGAAAAAUGGCCAAGAAACGCGUGGGCUAUAGCCUUGGUGGGGGGCGUGGGCGAAGUUCGUCCGCGGGACUCGGAAUAGCCCCAGACUUGGCGGGCGGCCUCCGUGUGCCAAAAAUUGGCCACGGGCACAGCCGCGCCCAAAAAUCAGCCCCCGAAGGUCGGGGUCCCAAGACCCCCCAGCGGAAAAAUGGCCAAGAAACGGGUGGGCUAUAGCCUUGGUGGGGGGCGUGGGCGAAGUUCGUCCGCGGGACUCGGAAUGGCCCCAGACUUGGCGGGCGGCCUCCGUGUGCCAAAAAUAGGCCACGGGCACAGCCGCACCCAAAAAUCAGCCCCCGAAG